rnacentral:rRNA from 1 species
CACGUAGGGGGCAAGCGUUGUCCGGAUUUAUUGGGCGUAAAGAGCUCGUAGGCGGUUCGGUAAGUCGGGUGUGAAAACUCAGGGCUCAACCCUGAGACGCCACCUGAUACUGCUGUGACUAGAGUCCGGUAGGGGAGCGUGGAAUUCCUGGUGUAGCGGUGGAAUGCGCAGAUAUCAGGAGGAACACCAGCGGCGAAGGCGGCGCUCUGGGCCGGAACUGACGCUGAGGAGCGAAAGCGUGGGGAGCAAACAGG